AUCCUUCUAUAUUUCAUAAGUGUGAUGAUUGAGUUUUCACAACCUUGUAUGAGAUAUAGCCAUAAACCUUGUUAUGAUGUUGGCACAUUACCUGUCUGACA
rfam:Erinaceus europaeus unplaced genomic scaffold scaffold00257, whole genome shotgun sequence